AUGGUUAAGCGACCAGGUUGCCACGGUGGAUGCCCCAGUCAGAGGCGUGAUGAAGGACGUGCUAAUCUGCGAUAAGGUCGGUAAGGUGAUAUGAAACCGUUAUAACUGGCGAUUUCCGAAUGGGGAAACCUUCCAGUGCGGUUUCGGUCAAUAAUUAUCAUUAACUGAAUCCAUAGGUUAAUGAGGCGAACCGGGGGAACUGAAACAUCUAGGUACCCCGAGGAAAAGAAAUCAACCGAGAUUCCCCCAGUAGCGGCGAGCGAACGGGGAGCAGCCCAGAGCCUGAAUCAGUGCGAAGCGGUUGCCCUGCGCUGCGCCAGGCAUGUUCACACGAAAACGAUAACAUGUUGUAUUCUGAUGAGCAGGGCGUGGUGGCAUCCUGUCUGAAUAUGAAAAUCAUCCUCCAAGGCUAACACUGACCAAUCGAUAGUGCGGAACCAGUACCGAGUGGAAAAGCAUGGCGAAACCCUGGCGAGGGGAGUGAAAAAGAACCUGAAACCGUGUACGUACAAGCAGUGGGAGCCUCUUUUAUGGGGUGACUGCGUACCUUUUGUAUAAUGGGUCAGCGACUUAUAUUCUGUAGCAAGGUUAACCGAAUAGGGGAGCCGAAGGGAAACCGAGUCUUAACUGGGCGUUAAGUGGUGCAGGGUAUAGACCCGAAACCCGGUGAUCUAGCCAUGGGCAGGUUGAAGGUUGGGUAACACUAACUGGAGGACCGAACCGACUAAUGUUGAAAAAUUAGCGGAUGACUUGUGGCUGGGGGUGAAAGGCCAAUCAAACCGGGAGAUAUUUGCCCUCCCGAAAGCCACGCAGGGUAGGCCUCGUGAAUUCAUCUCCGCAGAGCACUGUUUCGGCAAGGGGGUCAUCCCGACUUACCAACCCGAUGCAAACUGCGAAUACCGGAGAAUGUUAUCACGGGAGACACACGGCGGGUGCUAACGUCCGUCGUGAAGAGGGAAACAACCCAGACCGCCAGCUAAGGUCCCAAAGUCAUGUUGCUAUGGGCCCAGACAGCCAGGAUGUUGGCUUAGAUGCAGCCAUCAUUUAAAGAAAGCGUAAUAGCUCACUGGUCGAGUCGGCCUGCGCGGAAGAUGUAACGGGGCUAAACCAUGCACCGAAGCUGCGGCAGCGACGCUUAUGCGUUGUUGGGUAGGGGAGCGUUCUGUAAGCCUGCGAAGGUGUGUACUGUGAGGUAUGCUGGAGGUAAUCAGCGCAACCGCCAUUGCGUAACGAUAUGGUGAAGCCCGUUUCGCCGAAGAUCUAAGUGGCCCUCGGCCCAACGUUAAUCGGGGCAGGGUGAGUCGACCCUAAGGCUAUGAGGCCGAAAGGCGUAGUCGAUGGGAAACAGGUUAAUAUUCCUGUACUUGGUGUUACUGCGAAGGGGGGACGGAGAAGGCAAUGUUGGCCGGGCGACGGUUGUCCCGGUUUAAGCGGUGUAGGCUGGUUUUCCAGGCAAAUCCGGAAAAUCAAGGCUGAGGCGUGAUGACGAGGCACUACGGUGUUGAAGCAACAAUGCCCCGCUUCCGUGAAAGCCCUGAAGCACGAAAAAAUAUCACCGUACCCCAAAACAGGGACACAGGUGUCGCGUGAGAACACCAAGGCGUUUGAGAGAACUCUGGUGAAGGAACUAGCAAAAUGGUGCCGUAACUUCGGGAGAAGGCACGCUGAUAUGUAGGUGGUGCCCCGGCGGAUGGAGCUGAAAUCGUCGAAGAUACCAGCUGGUUGCAGUCUGUUUAUUAAAACACAGCACCGUGCAAAACACGAAAGCGGACGUAUACGGUGUGACGCCCGCUCCAAAAGCCACACUGAUGGGUUAGCGUGCCGAAGCUCUUUGAUCGAAGCCCUGGUAAACGGCGGCCGUAACUAUAACGGUCCUAAGGUAGCGAAAUCUUGUCGGGUAAGUUCCGACCCUGCACGAAUGGCGUAUCGAUACGUGCUGUUCCACCUGACUCAGUGCAGUGUACCCGCAGCAAGACGGAAGAAGACCCGUGAACCUUUACUAUAGCUUGACACUGAACAUUGUUGAUGUGUACAGGAUAGGUGGAGCUUUGGAGAUGUGGACGCCAGUCUGCAUGGAGCCGACUGAGAUACCACCCUUUAAUGUUUGAUGUUCUAACGUUGACCCGUAAUCCGGGUUGCGGACAGUGUCUGGUGGGUAGUUUGACUGGGGCGGUCUCCUCCUAAAGAGUAACGGAGGAGCACGAAGGUUGGCUAAUCCUGGUCGGACAUCAGGAGGUUAGUGCAAUGGCAUAAGCCAGCUUGACUGCGAGCGUGACGGCGCGAGCAGGUGCGAAAGCAGGUCAUAGUGAUCCGGUGGUUCUGAAUGGAAGGGCCAUCGCUCAACGGAUAAAAGGUACUCCGGGGAUAACAGGCUGAUACCGCUUGAAGUUCCAUAUCGGCAGCGGUGUUUGGCCACCCUCGAUGUCGGCUCAUCACAUCACAGCAGGGGCUGAAGUAGGUCCCAAGGGUAUGGCUGUUCGCCAUUUAAAGUGAACGAGCUGGGUUUAGAACGUCGUGAGACAGUUCGGUCCCUAUCUGCCGUGGGCGCUGGAGAACUGAGGGGGGCUGCUCCUAGUACGAGAGGACCGGAGUGGACGCAUCACUGGUGUUCGGGUUGUCAUGCCAAUGGCACUGCCCGGUAGCUAAAUGCGGAAGAGAUAAGUGCUGAAAGCAUCUAAGCACGAAACUUGCCCCGAGAUGAGUUCUCCCUGACUCCUUGAGAGUCCUGAAGGAACGUUGAAGACGACGACGUUGAUAGGCCGGGUGUGUAAGCGCAGCGAUGCGUUGAGCUAACCGGUACUAAUGAACCGUGAGGCUUAACCUUACAACGCCGAAG
rnacentral:rRNA from 1 species